AACGAACGCUGGCGGCGUGGAUAAGACAUGCAAGUCGAACGGGUCAGCUUUGUAGCAAUACUAAGCUGAUCAGUGGCGAACGGGUGCGUAACACGUGGGUCACAUUCCGGAAAGCAGAGAAUAGCCCAGGGAAACUUGGAUUAAUGCUCUAUGUGGUCGCAAGACUAAAGGCGCAAGCCGCUUUCUGAUUGGCCCGCGGCCUAUCAGCUAGUUGGUGGGGUAAUGGCCCACCAAGGCUACGACGGGUAGCUGGUCUAAGAGGACGACCAGCCACACUGGAACUGAGACACGGUCCAGACACCUACGGGUGGCUG
rnacentral:rRNA from 1 species